AACUUUUGGCAAUGGAUCUCUUGGCUCUCGCAUCGAUGAAGAACGCAGCGAAAUGCGAUACGUAAUGUGAAUUGCAGAAUUCAGUUAAUCAUCGAAUCUUUGAACGCACCUUGCGCCCCUUGGAAUUCCGAGGGGCACACCCGUUUGAGUGUCGUGAACAUCCUUCAACCUUUCUUGGUUUCUUAACCGGGGAAGGCUUGGAUUUUGGGGGUCUUUCAUUGCUGGCCUCUUUGAAGCCAGCUCCUCCUAAAUGGAUUAGUGUGGUCUGCUUUGCCGAUCCUUGACGUGAUAAGAUGUUUCUACGUCUUGGGUUUCGCACUGUCGCUUUAGACCCCGCUUCUAACCGUCUUGCAUUCAAGACAGAGUUUUAAACCUUGACCUCAAAUCGGGUGAGACUACCCGCUGAACUUAAGCAUAUCAAUAAGCGGAGGCU
rnacentral:misc_RNA from 1 species